AAUUUUGGACAAUGUGGGAAACCCUGAUCCAGCCAGCCCGCUUGUAUGAUGAAUGCCUUCGGGUGGUAAAGUACUUUUGGCAGAGAAGAAAAGGUACCGCUUAAUACGAGAUACUGCUGACGGUACCUGCAGAAUAAGCACUGUCUAACUACUUCACAUCAGCCGAGGUAAUACGUUGGGUGCAAGCGUUAACCGGAAUUACUGGGCGUAAAGCGUGUGUAGGCGGUUCGGAAAGAAAGAUGUGAAAUCCCAGGGCUCAGCCUUGGAACUGCAUUUUUAACUGCCGAGCUAGAGUAUGUCAGAGAAGGGUAGAAUUCCAUGUGUAGCAGUGAAAUGCGUAGAUAUGUGGAGGAAUACCGAUGGCGAAGGCAGCCCCCUGGGAUAAUACUGACGCUCAGACACGAAAGCGUGGGGAGCAAACAG
rnacentral:rRNA from 1 species